rnacentral:rRNA from 1 species
UACAGAGGUCCCAAGCGUUGUUCGGAUUCACUGGGCGUAAAGGGCGCGUAGGCGGCCAUGCGUGUCUUCCGUGAAAUCCCUCGGCUUAACUGAGGACGUGCGGAAGAAACUGCAAGGCUCGAGUCCGGGAGAGGGGGGUGGAAUUCCCAGUGUAGCGGUGAAAUGCGUAGAUAUUGGGAGGAACACCGGUGGCGAAGGCGGCCCCCUGGACCGGUACUGACGCUGAGGCGCGAAAGCGUGGGUAGCAAACGGG